rnacentral:rRNA from 1 species
GACGAACGCUGGCGGCGUGCCUAAUACAUGCAAGUUGAGCGCUGAAGGUUGGUACUUGUACCAACUGGAUGAGCAGCGAACGGGUGAGUAACGCGUGGGGAAUCUGCCUUUGAGCGGGGGACAACAUUUGGAAGCGAAUGCUAAUACCGCAUAAAAACUUUAAACACAAGUUUUAAGUUUGAAAGAUGCAAUUGCAUCACUCAAAGAUGAUCCCGCGUUGUAUUAGCUAGUUGGUGAGGUAAAGGCUCACCAAGGCGAUGAUACAUAGCCGACCUGAGAGGGUGAUCGGCCACAUUGGGACUGGGACACGGCCCAAACCCCUACGGGAGGCAGCAGUAGGGAAUCUUCGGCAAGGGACGAAAGUCUGACCGAGCAACGCCGCGUGAGGGAAGAAGGUUGUCGGAUCGUAAAACUCUGUUGGUAGAGAAGAACGUUGGUGAGAGUGGAAAGCUCAUAAAGUGACGGUAACUACCCAGAAAGGGACGGCUAACUACGUG